UACGUAGGGGGCAAGCGUUGUCCGGAAUCAUUGGGCGUAAAGAGCGUGUAGGCGGCCUGAUAAGUCGGUUGUGAAAGUCAAGGGCUCAACCUUGAAUGCCGGCCGAUACUGUCAGGCUAGAGUCCGGAAGAGGCGAGUGGAAUUCCUGGUGUAGCGGUGAAAUGCGCAGAUAUCAGGAGGAACACCGAUGGCGAAGGCAGCUCGCUGGGACGGUACUGACGCUGAGACGCGAAAGCGUGGGGAGCGAACAGG
rnacentral:rRNA from 1 species